UGGUGUAGCUCAAUUGGCAGAGCGGCUGAUUUGUAAUCAGCAGGUUGCGGGUUCAAGUCCCUUCACC
rnacentral:tRNA from 1 species